rnacentral:rRNA from 1 species
UACGUAGGGUGCAAGCGUUGUCCGGAUUUAUUGGGCGUAAAGAGCUCGUAGGCGGCUUGUCGCGUCGACUGUGAAAUCCCGAGGCUCAACUUCGGGCUUGCAGUCGAUACGGGCAGGCUAGAGUUCGGUAGGGGAGACUGGAAUUCCUGGUGUAGCGGUGAAAUGCGCAGAUAUCAGGAGGAACACCGAUGGCGAAGGCAGGUCUCUGGGCCGAUACUGACGCUGAGGAGCGAAAGCGUGGGGAGCGAACAGG